rnacentral:ncRNA from 15 species
UGUUGUGAUGAAAGGGAAAGAUCAGAUCUGUGAAGAAGUGGAGCGACACUGAGG